UACGUAGGGGGCGAGCGUUGUCCGGAUUUAUUGGGCGUAAAGAGCUCGUAGGCGGUUUGGUAAGUCGGGUGUGAAAUCUCCACGCUCAACGUGGAGGGGCCACUCGAUACUGCCAUGACUCGAGUCCGGUAGAGGAGUGUGGAAUUCCCGGUGUAGCGGUGAAAUGCGCAGAUAUCAGGAGGAACACCGGUGGCGAAGGCGGGUCUCUGGGCAACAACUGACGCUGAGGAGCGAAAGCGUGGGGAGCGAACAGG
rnacentral:rRNA from 1 species